rnacentral:rRNA from 1 species
ACCCUUGCCUUUAGUUGCCAGCAUUAAGUUNGGCACUCUAGAGGGACUGCCAGGGAUAACCUGGAGGAAGGUGGGGANGACGUCAAAUCAUCAUGCCCCUUAUGCUUAGGGCUACACACNUGCUACAAUGGGUGGUACAGAGGGCAGCCAAACCGUGAGGUCGAGCUAAUNCCUUAAAGCCAUUCUCGGUUCGGAUUGUAGGCUGAAACUNNCNUACAUGAAGCUGGAGUUACUAGUAAUCGCAGAUCAGAAUGNUGCGGUGAAUGCGUUCCCGGGUNUUGUACACACCGCCCGUCACACCACGGAAGUNGGGGGCGCCCGAAGCCACUUAGCUAACCCUUUUNGGAAGCGAGUGUCGAAGGUGAAAUCAAUAACUGGGGUG